UGGGGAAUAUUGGACAAUGGGCGAAAGCCUGAUCCAGCCAUGCCGCGUGUGUGAAGAAGGUCUUCGGAUUGUAAAGCACUUUAAGUUGGGAGGAAGGGCAGUAAGCGAAUACCUUGCUGUUUUGACGUUACCGACAGAAUAAGCACCGGCUAACUCUGUGCCAGCAGCCGCGGUAAUACAGAGGGUGCAAGCGUUAAUCGGAAUUACUGGGCGUAAAGCGCGCGUAGGUGGUUCGUUAAGUUGAAUGUGAAAGCCCCGGGCUCAACAUGGGAGCUGCAUCCAAAACUGGCGAGCUAGAGUAGGGCAGAGGGUGGUGGAAUUUCCUGUGUAGCGGUGAAAUGCGUAGAUAUAGGAAGGAACACCAGUGGCGAAGGCGACCACCUGGGCUCAUACUGACACUGAGGUGCGAAAGCGUGGGGAGCAAACAGG
rnacentral:rRNA from 1 species